AACGAACGCUGGCGGCGUGCCUAACACAUGCAAGUCGAACGAGAAAGUCGUAGCAAUACGGCGAGUAAAGUGGCGCACGGGUCAAUAACACGUGGAUAAUCUACCUCUGGGAGAGGAACAACCUGUCGAAAGACGGGCUAAUACCUCAUAAGACCACGGGGUCUCCGGACCUCGGGGCAAAAGAUGGCCUCUACCUGUAAGCUAUCACCUGGAGAUGAGUCCGCGCACCAUUAGCUAGUUGGCAGGGUAACGGCCUACCAAGGCUGAGAUGGUUAGCUGGUCUGAGAGGACGAUCAGCGACACUGGAACUGAAACACGGUCCAGACUCCUACGGGAGGCUG
rnacentral:rRNA from 1 species